rnacentral:rRNA from 1 species
ACGCUAGCUACAGGCUUAACACAUGCAAGUCGAGGGGCAGCAUGGUCUUAGCUUGCUAAGGCCGAUGGCGACCGGCGCACGGGUGAGUAACACGUAUCCAACCUGCCGUCUACUCUUGGACAGCCUUCUGAAAGGAAGAUUAAUACAAGAUGGCAUCAUGAGUCCGCAUGUUCACAUGAUUAAAGGUAUUCCGGUAGACGAUGGGGAUGCGUUCCAUUAGAUAGUAGGCGGGGUAACGGCCCACCUAGUCUUCGAUGGAUAGGGGUUCUGAGAGGAAGGUCCCCCACAUUGGAACUGAGACACGGUCCAAACUCCUACGGGAGGCAGCAGUGAGGAAUAUUGGUCAAUGGGCGAGAGCCUGAACCAGCCAAGUAGCGUGAAGGAUGACUGCCCUAUGGGUUGUAAACUUCUUUUAUAAAGGAAUAAAGUCGGGUAUGGAUACCCGUUUGCAUGUACUUUAUGAAUAAGGAUCGGCUAACUCCGUGCCAGCAGCCGCGGUAAUACGGAGGAUCCGAGCGUUAUCCGGAUUUAUUGGGUUUAAAGGGAGCGUAGAUGGAUGUUUAAGUCAGUUGUGAAAGUUUGCGGCUCAACCGUAAAAUUGCAGUUGAUACUGGAUAUCUUGAGUGCAGUUGAGGCAGGCGGAAUUCGUGGUGUAGCGGUGAAAUGCUUAGAUAUCACGAAGAACUCCGAUUGCGAAGGCAGCCUGCUAAGCUGCAACUGACAUUGAGGCUCGAAAGUGUGGGUAUCAAACAGGAUUAGAUACCCUGGUAGUCCACACGGUAAACGAUGAAUACUCGCUGUUCGCGAUAUACUGCAAGCGGCCAAGCGAAAGCGUUAAGUAUUCCACCUGGGGAGUACGCCGGCAACGGUGAAACUCAAAGGAAUUGACGGGGGCCCGCACAAGCGGAGGAACAUGUGGUUUAAUUCGAUGAUACGCGAGGAACCUUACCCGGGCUUAAAUUGCAGAUGAAUUACGGUGAAAGCCGUAAGCCGCAAGGCAUCUGUGAAGGUGCUGCAUGGUUGUCGUCAGCUCGUGCCGUGAGGUGUCGGCUUAAGUGCCAUAACGAGCGCAACCCUUGUUGUCAGUUACUAACAGGUUCCGCUGAGGACUCUGACAAGACUGCCAUCGUAAGAUGUGAGGAAGGUGGGGAUGACGUCAAAUCAGCACGGCCCUUACGUCCGGGGCUACACACGUGUUACAAUGGGGGGUACAGAGGGCCGCUACCACGCGAGUGGAUGCCAAUCCCCAAAACCUCUCUCAGUUCGGACUGGAGUCUGCAACCCGACUCCACGAAGCUGGAUUCGCUAGUAAUCGCGCAUCAGCCACGGCGCGGUGAAUACGUUCACGGGCCUUGUACACACCGCCCGUCAAGCCAUGGGAGCCGGGGGUACCUGAAGUGCGUAACCGCGAGGAGCGCCCUAGGGUAAAACUGGUGACUG